rnacentral:rRNA from 1 species
UACGGAGGGUGCUAGCGUUGUUCGGAAUCACUGGGCGUAAAGGGCGUGUAGGCGGUCUGUUAAGUCUGAUGUGAAAUCCCCUCGCUCAACGAGGGAACUGCGUCGGAUACUGGCAGACUUGAGUACCGGAGAGGAAGGUGGAAUUCCCGGUGUAGCGGUGAAAUGCGUAGAUAUCUGGAGGAACACCGGUGGCGAAGGCGGCAUCCUGGACCAAUUCUGACGCUGAGGAGCGAAAGCCAGGGGAGCAAACGGG